UGGGGAAUAUUGGACAAUGGGCGAAAGCCUGAUCCAGCCAUGCCGCGUGUGUGAAGAAGGUCUUCGGAUUGUAAAGCACUUUAAGUUGGGAGGAAGGGCAGUAAGCGAAUACCUUGCUGUUUUGACGUUACCGACAGAAUAAGCACCGGCUAACUCUGUGCCAGCAGCCGCGGUAAUACAGAGGGUGCAAGCGUUAAUCGGAAUUACUGGGCGUAAAGCGCGCGUAGGUGGUUCGUUAAGUUGAAUGUGAAAGCCCCGGGCUCAACCUGGGAACGGCAUCCAAAACUGGCGAGCUAGAGUAGGGCAGAGGGUGGUGGAAUUUCCUGUGUGGCGGUGAAAUGCGUAGAUAUAGGAAGGAACACCAGUGGCGAAGGCGACCACCUGGGGUCAUACUGACACUGAGGUGCGAAAGCGUGGGGAGCAAACAGG
rnacentral:rRNA from 1 species